GUCUCAGUUCGGAUUGGAGUCUGCAACCCGACUCCAUGAAGCUGGAUUCGCUAGUAAUCGCGCAUCAGCCACGGCGCGGUGAAUACGUUCCCGGGCCUUGUACACACCGCCCGUCAAGCCAUGGAAGCCGGGGGGUGCCUGAAGUGCGCUGCCGCAAGGAGCGCCCUAGGGUAAAACCGGUGACUGGGGCUAAGUCGUAACAAGGUAAC
rnacentral:rRNA from 1 species